CCUACGGGUGGCAGCAGUGGGGGAUAUUGCACAAUGGGGGAAACCCUGAUGCAGCGACGCCGCGUGUAGGAAGACGGUCCUCUGGAUUGUAAACUACUGUUCUCAGGGACGAAGACGACGUUACCUGGGGAGGACGCUCCGGCUAACUACGUGCCAGCAGCCGCGGUAAUACGUAGGGAGCGAGCGUUGUCCGGAAUUACUGGGUGUAAAGGGAGCGUAGGCGGGGAUGCAAGUUGGGUGUAAAAUCUACCGGCUCAACUGGUAGUCGCACUCAAAACUGCAGCGCUUGAGUGAAGUAGAGGCAGGCGGAAUUCCUAGUGUAGCGGUGAAAUGCGUAGAUAUUAGGAAGAACCCCGAUGGCGAAGGCAGCCUGCUGG
rnacentral:rRNA from 1 species